rnacentral:rRNA from 1 species
GACGAACGCUGGCGGCGCGCCUAACACAUGCAAGUCGAACGAGCGAGAGAGAGAUUGCUUUCUCAAGCGAGUGGCGAAAGGGUGAGUAACGCGUGAGGAACCUGCCUCAAAGAGGGGGACAACAGUUGGAAACGACUGCUAAUACCGCAUAAGCCCACGACCCGGCAUCGGGUAUAGGGAAAAGGAGCAAUCCGCUUUGAGAUGGCCUCGCGUCCGAUUAGCUAGUUGGUGAGGUAACGGCCCACCAAGGCGACGAUAGGUAGCCGGACUGAGAGGUUGAACGGACACAUUUGGACUGAGACACGGCCCAGACUACUACGGGAGGGAGCAGUGGGGAAUAUUGCACAAUGGGGGAAACCAUGAUGCAGCGACGACGCGUGGAGGAAGAAGGUCUUCGGAUUGUAAACUCCUGUUGUUGAGGAAGAUAAUGACGGUACUCAACAAGGAAGUGACGGCUAACUACGUG